rnacentral:rRNA from 1 species
UACGUAGGGUGCGAGCGUUGUCCGGAAUUACUGGGCGUAAAGAGCUCGUAGGUGGUUUGUCACGUUGUCCGUGAAAACUCACAGCUUAACUGUGGGCGUGCGGGCGAUACGGGCAGACUGGAGUACUGCAGGGGAGACUGGAAUUCCUGGUGUAGCGGUGGAAUGCGCAGAUAUCAGGAGGAACACCGGUGGCGAAGGCGGGUCUCUGGGCAGUAACUGACGCUGAGGAGCGAAAGCGUGGGGAGCGAACAGG